rnacentral:rRNA from 1 species
AGAGUUUGAUCCUGGCUCAGAUUGAACGCUGGCGGCAUGCUUUACACAUGCAAGUCGAACGGCAGCGGGGGCUUCGGCCUGCCGGCGAGUGGCGAACGGGUGAGUAAUGCAUCGGAACGUGCCCAGUCAUGGGGGAUAACUACGCGAAAGCGUAGCUAAUACCGCAUACGCCCUGAGGGGGAAAGCGGGGGAUCGCAAGACCUCGCGUGAUCGGAGCGGCCGAUGUCGGAUUAGCUAGUUGGUGGGGUAAAGGCCUACCAAGGCGACGAUCCGUAGCGGGUCUGAGAGGAUGAUCCGCCACACUGGGACUGAGACACGGCCCAGACUCCUACGGGAGGCAGCAGUGGGGAAUUUUGGACAAUGGGGGCAACCCUGAUCCAGCCAUGCCGCGUGAGUGAAGAAGGCCUUCGGGUUGUAAAGCUCUUUCAGACGGAA